rnacentral:rRNA from 1 species
GGUAUGGCUGUUCGCCAUUUAAAGUGGUACGCGAGCUGGGUUUAGAACGUCGUGAGACAGUUCGGUCUCUAUCUAUCGUGGGCGUUGGAGUUUUGCGUGGUGCUGACACUAGUACGAGAGGACCGUGUUGGACAGACCUCCGGUUUACCAGUUGUGCCGCCAGGUGCACCGCUGGGUAUCUGAGUCUGGAUUGGAUAAGCGCUGAAAGCAUCUAAGUGCGAAGCCAGCCGCAAGAUUAGAACUCCUCAUAAGG